CUUCAACGUUCCUUCAGUGGAAUUGAUGAUUUCUCCCACGUUCUUGAUCCCCAUGAUUGUCGAAAGCUUGACUUCUGGGUGUGCAUGAAAAUGGGCUGAUCCUAAAUCCACAGCUUCCACUUGGACUUCCUGAGCAAGUGCCAUUUCUACACGGUUUACUACAUGAAGAAGAAGAGGAAUCCUUCAUGACACUGAACUGAGAUUAACACUAGCAACUGUGGAACGAGAAAUAAGGAAAACAGAAGCAAGGAAAGUGAUGCAGAGGCCAAGAGGAGCCAUUUCUUACCAUCCCAUCUGCUGCUUCUCGUGCUUCGUCUUCGGUCGCCAUUGCUCCAGAUCAGAAUGAGGAGGAGAAGAAGAAGAAGAAGAAAGGAAAAGGAAAAGGAAAAAAAGAAAGAUGGAGUGGCUUCUCCCUGAAAAAGGCUUGUGGGCGCUCGAAAAGCUGGUGGUCUUUAUACCAACCUUUCCUUGGCCCCCCUGUCAAUAUGUUUUCUAUUGCUGAGGAGCGGUUAGGAAGCAGUGACAGACUGACAGUGCUCUUGACAGGGAGUUAGCACUUGCUUGAGUGUAAUCUUGAUUAAGCAGGAGAAGUUAUCCCUGAAACCGCAGAUCAAUGAACAUGGAGAGUCAGCAUUAGGUGCCAAAAUGCCAACUGGUACGUGAGGCACAUGGUUGUGGUGGCUGGACCAGUGUGUCUGCGUUCUUGCAUUGAUGGACCCACAGAACCUUUUUUGUGUGACAUUAUUGGAUCGAUAAUUGAUCAGGGAGUAUCAUCCUUGGAUCCUUCAUACCGUUAGCUUCUUUUCUUUUCUUUCCUGAGUGCAGCUCAAAAGAAAAGUUUGGGUUUUGGUGUGAAAACACUAUUAUCUGCUCAUUUUGUUGCUUGGCUUCGAGUAUUGGGUAAAAUGAUUGGUUUUACACUUUCUUUAUGGUGCAAAUUUUCUCCUACUGGUUAGGCUUCCCUUGUAUGUUUUAGUCACUCUCAACUAUUCAUUUAAUUGCUGUGUUCAUCUUACCUCCGAUUGCACUUGGAGCACAAGGGAACAAUGGAUUAAAGUCGAUGUUUCUGCAACCCAUAGAAAGUUUAUUGAGAUCAAACCAAGUGAAAGCAGAACAGCAUGAAAGUAACUUCGCCUUUGGUGUCCUUACUGUGUUAUGUCCUGUUCUUUCAAAAUUUUUUUCAAAAAAAAAAUGAUUCCUUUCAAGUUCAUGUGCCAGCACAUUAUGUUAGUAAUAUGUCAUUCUUUGUACACCUUCAGUCCUGAAUCUUAAAUGAAGUGAUUGUUGCAGCUUAUGAUCAAUAGCUCUUAACCCGUUCCAGCAUUCAGAAUUAUGGUUCUGAGGUUGCUAACUGUGACUGAUAUCUGAAGAUUACUGAAGCACAAUGACAGAGAAAAGUGGUGCAUUAGGAGCCCCAGGAUAUUGAAUUCAGUCAAGUGGCUGCUGCUGACUCUGAUCUGCAGCAAAAGAAUUCCACAUGUUCGACCGCUCUGGACAAGAAAAUACCAAGUUGGCCAGCCCCAAGCGCCACGCUGGAUCCAUCUAACGCGGUCCAAAUUCUUCCAGCAGAAAAAGAAGCCUCUCCGCCACGUACGCUUCAUCACCUGCUACGAAUUAUGAAAACCUGUGGCAGGUAAUGCUAAGCGCUUGUGCUAUUAUCCUAGCAUAUCGCUGCGCCGAAAGAAGGAAGCUCAUGGCGCCAUUGAGGAUGACAUGUUUCUCAUCUCGGCAAAUCCUUAUCAGCAAAGCUUCCAGCCGCCCUAGUGCCGCUAUCAGGUCUGAUUCGGCACCGUAGGUAGAUUCUAUCACUGCUUGGAAAACCCUUCAGAGGCUGAUGUUUUUGUUUCCUGGAACUGUUUGCUUUUGCCCCUUGGAAUACAAUCAUCAAUCAGGGUCCUGUCAGAGUUCAGACCAAUAAGCAUAUGUCAAUGAGUUAAUCAACACAGAAAAGGGAAAAGACGGAUCAGAAAAAAGAGAUAAUGGAUCUCUCUUCUCUCUCCGAAAAGCAGAGGGGUGGUGCCGAAUUUUCUCUGGAUGAAGGCAACAGCUGCUGCGAAUAUGAGAAAAGGGAAUAGAUGGAUCAGAAAAAAAGAGAUAAUGGAUCUCUCUUGUCUCUUCGAAAAGCAGAGGAGUGGUUCCGAAUUUUCGCUGGAUGAAGGCAACAGCAGCUGCGAAUAUGAGGUGGUGAUUGGAAAUGAACACCAGGCCACACCAAGUCACCAACACCGGCACCGGCCAUGCUAAAGCCGUAUUGUCUUUUUAUGCCGCCAAAGUCAUAACCACCAACAGUUUUCUCGAUUGAUCCACGUCAUCCAGCAUAGGGCACGUCAAUUCAAGCAGUUUGAGGCAGCCCCGGAAUAUUUGAGGACGAUGUGCAAGACAAAAGCCACGUCACAUAAAGUACUCUACUAUAUCUUUUUAUAAAAAAGUGCUAAUAUAUUUGAGAGCAUCUUCCAUUGCCAGCUCCUUGUGGAUGCAAGGGACUUUUUUGUAUCCAGUGUGCCACCUCAGAUCGAGGCUUCCAGGACCCACGGUGAAUACGGCCUCUU